AACUUUGAGCGGUGGAUCACUCGGCUCGU
rnacentral:ncRNA from 12 species